rnacentral:misc_RNA from 1 species
GACAAAACGACAGUGGCAUGGGGAAGAUGUUGAACUAUCUACUUCUGCGAGACAUGAGUCUCAACAGCCUAUACCACUCCUGACAAAUGGCCAAUCAGUGUCGGGCGAAAUUCCUUGUGCUACCCCUGACAAUCAAUCAGUGCGAACCACAUCUGGUCCUUUGGGUCCUCCAGAAAAGCAUAUGCAAUCCCAUCCAUAUGUUGACCCACGGCAGCCAGUUCCUGUGAGAAUUGUAGACCCAUCAAAGGAUUUGAAUUCUUAUGGCCUUGGGAAUGUUGACUGGAAGGAAAGAGUGGAAGGUUGGAAACUGAAACAAGAGAAA